ensembl:snRNA U6 U6 spliceosomal RNA
GUGCUUGCUUUGACAGUACAUAUACUAAAACUGGCACAAUACAGAUAAGAUUACCAUGGCCUCUGCAUGAGAAUGACAUUCAAAAAGUGAAUAAACAGCCAAUAAGA